GUGGAAUGCAGCUACAUUCCUGACACCGAUCAUCAGUGCGUGAGUUCGGAUAUGUUCAAAGUCCAGCUCCUAAAAGAGCAUUUCUUUCAGGUUUAGGAUCUGCUUUGGCUCUCUUCAGACAAUAAAGGGUGAAGAUUGUGGGAUUUUCAGAACUGGAUUCUUGUUUCAUUCAUCAUUGGAAGAUACAAAAUAUCCAGGCACAAAGGAGUGAGUUCCAUGCACACUGUUCACAGAACGAAGAACUCAGAGCAGAAUGGGGCUGCCACUAAAGAGGAACCCAAGGCACAGCAAGAUGCAAUGACUUGCCUGAAAUAUCUCAGCAAAGCAGGGGCAGCACUCUGUCUCACCUAGUGCACUUGAAGAUAAUUUAUGAGUGGCAAUGGACUCACCUCUGAUAUAGCUUAUUUUACAUUUAUGGAGAUGAAGCUCCUGGGACUUGUUUGACAGAAACCAGAUGCAGCUGCUCCCAUUCCCUCCAGCACAAUCUAAGGAUGCUUGGCCUUGGCUUUGUAGCAACCUGGGUCUCAAAAACAGUAGAUGCAGUUGUAUAUAAAAGAUUUGUCCAGACUAGAAUUUGCUUUUGUUUCUGAUGGAAGAGUAUCGGUUUGUGGGGAGUGGACUCUGCCUUGAUCUUAUCUCACUCUCACCAGAGAGAGCAACAGAGAGUCCCAGGAUCAUUGCAUUGAGCAGGAUGCAGAAGUGCUGGAGAAACAAAAGAAAGAAAUUUCUGCAGUUUUUACUCAAAUAUCACAGAAAAUAAUAAUCCUAGAAAUUUAUGGUUCAUAUAAUGGAAGGUGAACAUCUUGUAUUCCUGGUGGGAUUAACAAAGUCAUCAUGAAUCCAUACAUUCACUGCCUUUGGCCUGUGAUGGUGAUUUUAGAGCUGCUUUUUUUGAAGAUGUUUCAGUAUGAAGGGAAGCAUCCUUGGAGCCAGGAACUGAAACCAAACAAUAAGCUUACUCAUUGCUUACUCAAGGGAGAAAAUGGUCUUAGUGAAGAAAGUUAGACAGGUCACUGCUGCAGGACCUGUGUGCUGCUUUGCUGCAGGUUGCUCGUAUCUGUGAUGCUGCAUGUAAGAAUAAGGUUGCCUGUAUGUUGGUCUGCUUUGUCCUAGUUUGCUAAAUAAAGAAAUAAAAAUAAAACCUUCUGAUACAAAAGAGAGAGGAAACCUGUUCAAUUCAGACAUUAAGCAAAGGUCAUGUGAGUGCAAAAUAAAUGCUUUAUAUUACUGUAUUUUAAACAUAAUGUUUAAAACAUCACUUGCAACGUAUAAUUAGCUUCCUUCUUGUUAAUCCAAGACAUUGAUCUACCAAUUUUAUAUGGAGAGCAGCCAAUUUAUAAAUGUAUCUCAGUUGAUAAUUGGCCUGACUUGCUUUGGGUAAGGAUGAAAUUGGUGUACUUCCCUGUGCUGUGACAAUGUCUGGACAGCAUUUUGAAGAUCUGAUUAUAAUCCAUUGCAAAUUUCUAUGUGGAUGUGGGGUUGGAGACAAAGAACCACACUCACAAUUCAGGAGCAAAGGGAACACUGCUAUUUGUUUGACUUCAGAAGCAUUGGAGAGUAAUUGGUCUCUGCCCUUAAAACACAUGAAAAAGUAAAAAAAGCAAUUUUGUAAAAAACACAUGGGAAGAAAUCCCCAUCUGCUACUAGAAUUAUUUAAUAAAAUACCUUACUUCAUUAAAGCUAUUGAAAAGCUGUUCUUUGUAGUACCUGUGACAUAUUGGCAGCUAGAUAAAUAAUGAAAUAUUGUCAGAACUGAAGAUACUGUAAUGUUAGUGAAACAUCCAUCUGCAACCAGAGACAAUCUAUUAUUUAUAUUGCAAAUAUUUUAACAUUGUUAAUCUUUAAUUAUUAUUUCUUUAGUUAUUAUUCUGUUAAUCUUUAAUUAUUUAUUUCAGUUUUUUGAAUAAUCGAUGUUAUGUGAAACAUAGCGGUAUCUGAUGACAUUUCUGGCAUUUAAAUAAUGCCAAAAAUUACAUUUUGGCCACAGAAGUUUUAAAAAAAUGCCAGACAAAUAGAAAAAAAAACAAUGAAGUACAUACAAAAAAAUUUAAGGUUAUUUUGGGGAAGAGUAGGGUGGGUAAAGCAAAGUGGAUAAAUAAAACUCUGGCAUAAUAUUUGAAAUAUAUUCUAUAUUUUACUGUCUAGACCAAAUUUUUCAGUGCCUAGUGAAAAAAAUUAAUAAUAUUAAUUUGGAAAUUUUGCUUUUACAGUAUAUCUUGUUUAACUAAAAAUAAAUUAGAAAUCUCAUGAGCUGUCCUGCUUACAGAUAAAGAAGAGAACCUCUGUGCUGGGACAAGGAACAGUUAUAAUCCUAGAUUUAAGGGAGAAAGUGACAAGAAAAUAAAAAUCUAGGAGGAAAGGAGCAAUAUGGAGCUACCCAGGACUAAUUUUAUGUCAAGCAGAGGCUGAACUUUAAGCAAUAUCUGUAAAGACUCUUACCAACUAACAGACUUGUGAACUCACAUGCAAGCGUCUAAGUGGCAUGACAUUGAAACCUGUCAAGCACCAUUAGAUUACUGCUGCUAAAAUCAGGCCUGCUGAUUAGAAAACCAUUUGGGUAACGGCAUCACAGCAUCGCCUCAAAAGAAGAAGCUUUAAGCAAUCUGAUUUCAGCGGACAGUAAAAAACCCCGAACAACCACAACAAACCAAAAACCAGAAAAACUUGGCUUGGAUAUACUGUAAAGCUGGAGCACGAACCCUUAUACUUCUGGUUGUUAAAGGUGAAUUUGAUUUAGAUGGUGAAAAGUUAGGUAUCACUUUCAUUAGGUUUGGCUUCAGAUAAACAAGUGGAACAGCAGAAGCCUGUGUGGGCAAAAAGGGCAAAGCCAUAAAACUGUGUCAGAAGCCCUGCUUUACUCUUCCGGUGUUCCUCCCUCAGCUGACUUGCUAGCUCUUUGUACAUGAUAAGAAGGUAACAACAAGGUUAAAGUCUGGGUAUAAGCUUGAGAAGCUCAACAUUCAUGACAGGAUAAUUCAGUUUUUUAGAUAAAUAUUUACAUGGAUUUUUAAUGUAUGAUCCCAAAUUCAUGUUUAGGUCCCAAAUGAGCUAAGAAUGUGUGACUAAACUAACACAAGCAAAUUCACCAUCUGUAAGUAUAUAAUAUUAAAACAUUAAUGGAUUUGAAACCCUGAACAAUAUUUUUACUCAGUCUUAAUGUUUUCUUUGCUCAAAAGCAAAUAAACUCCUGCAGCAUGGUGCUCCCAUCCUACUUUUGCUUUCAACUUUUUUCCAUUCUUGUCAAGAGACGUCACAUUCCCAUUUUGGUUCAAAGUCCUUUUUAAAGGACAACUGUUUUAUCUCUGACACUCUGAUAUGUUUUCUUCCUUCUGAAAACUGCUAAGUAGGAUGGGCAGAUGAGAGACAGACAGACAGGCCUGCUCAGUCCGUCUGUCACUGCAGUGGAGCUAGAGGAGGGGUAGCGACAUUGCUGGAUGAAUGCUCCUUGCAAUGCCCUCAAACAUGGUGUAAGGAGAGUUAAUCCCUCAACCUCCCCUUCUUCCUGGGAAGAAAGGAAGGAGAGAUGAAAGAAAGGAAAGCUGUGCCUUUCCUUCUAGCCCUUAGAGCCUGUAAUCUUAUUAAUGUGUAUGCCUGACAAGGAUUGGAGAAGUCCCAGUGCAGCCUUUAUAUGGCAAGGACCAGGUAUUUGUAGAUGCUGCACCAGGACAUGGUCAGCAAUCUCCAUCUGCUGCCUUUGCUGUGGUUCAGGGAGCAUUUGCACUUCCACAGCACUAACAAAGCAGCUCUCAGGUCACUACUGGGAGUGUGAUCACUUCUUUUCAACUGACUUUAUAGUGCAGGUAUGUGAGCUACAAGCAAAGCAUGCAGUUUCUUGUCUAAUCUGACUGCUCAGGCAGUGAUUGCUUUGUGAAUUGCAUGACUAAUAGCCAAAGAUAUUCUGAAUCCAGCCUUAUUCAAGUAUGAACUAAGUCCCUGAAGAGGUAGCCAUUUGCUUGGUUGUUUUUCACUAUCAGUCUUGACAUUGAUAGUGACUUCAAGUGCUGCCCUGCCCCUCAAAAUUCUUUUGGUGCAUGGACACCCAUGUCUUUUUUCCAAGGCAUAUUUUUGUGGGAUGGCUUGCAUCUGGGUGUUAGGGAUCAAUGAGAAAGUGGAAAUGGGUUUAGCAAUCAUCAUUACAGUAUCACCAUUGGCAACAGUAACCAGCAAGUUUAAAAUCGCCUCUCUAACACAGUGCUUUAUUAAAUGUUAGUAAUUAAACAUGAAAAUCACUAGGUAAGAUUAAAGUAUUUUAAGAUAUCAGAUUUUAAAUUAAUUUUCUGGAUGAAAAAGCCAAUGGCCAGGCUUAAGACUUGGAAUACAUACUUUAAUAUUUUCCAUAAUGUAAUACUUCUGUUUUACAUUUUAUUUGCAUGACAUAUUACACAUCACCUUCUUUAGUGCGGUGACAUUGUUAUUUUCUGGUUUUAUAUAGGCACUAGUAUCAUUGGCUUCUGAACUCUUUUUAUGUUUCAGACAAAGCCUGUGAAGUAUUAUGUCUGGAUGCAGAUCGUUGUAUAUUCUAUACGUGCAUUCUGAACUUGUGAGAAGAUGUCUUAAUAACAAUAUUUUGUCAUUUUAAUGACAUGAAAAUGUAACCCAUCACUAGGCAUAGAUAUCAGACCAUAGUUCCCUUUAACUUAACAGCUUGAGUCUGAGAGUGGUCAGCAGCAACGGCUUGGUGUAAUAGCCAUGUUCAUAAAGGAACUGAUGGAAGAAGGUCAUUGGUGGUUAGGAACUUCAUGGUCUGGAAAUUGCAUCCAUACUGUUAUACCUACCUAGUAUUUGAUGCACCUUUCUUCAUUAAUUUCACACCACCAAAACACCCUGUGGCAGUGAUUUAUUUAACUCAGAUCUAGUUAGGAGCAAUGUGAAAAAGUUCUUCCUUCUGUUGUUUUAAACAUGAAGACUGAUUAUUUCACUGAAUGAACUCUGUUAUGAGAGCAAUAAGGAGCUGUUCAUUAGUCACCUUGUCCAGGUCAUUUACUGGCAUCCUACUGAAUGAUAGGGCCUUACACAAUAAAAUAAAUAGCCUACCUUCUAAGAAUCGCGACUAAACUGCUCUUUUAAUCAAGAGUAAGCCUUCCCUGUAAAUAACCAUCAUUAUGUACCAUUAAGGAUUAAUGUGGUGCGUUGCUGGAAAUAAAGAUCAACUUGUUUA